AUUGAACGCUGGCGGCAGGCCUAACACAUGCAAGUCGAGCGGAUGAAGGGAGCUUGCUCCUGGAUUCAGCGGCGGACGGGUGAGUAAUGCCUAGGAAUCUGCCUGGUAGUGGGGGACAACGUUUCGAAAGGAACGCUAAUACCGCAUACGUCCUACGGGAGAAAGCAGGGGACCUUCGGGCCUUGCGCUAUCAGAUGAGCCUAGGUCGGAUUAGCUAGUUGGUGAGGUAAUGGCUCACCAAGGCGACGAUCCGUAACUGGUCUGAGAGGAUGAUCAGUCACACUGGAACUGAGACACGGUCCAGACUCCUACGGGAGGCAGCAGUGGGGAAUAUUGGACAAUGGGCGAAAGCCUGAUCCAGCCAUGCCGCGUGUGUGAAGAAGGUCUUCGGAUUGUAAAGCACUUUAAGUUGGGAGGAAGGGUUGUAGAU
rnacentral:rRNA from 1 species